UGGGGAAUUUUGGACUAUGGGCGAAAGCCUGAUCCAGCAAUGCCGCGUGCAGGAUGAAGGCCCUCGGGUUGUAAACUGCUUUUGUACGGAACGAAAAGCCUGGGGCUAAUACCCCCGGGUCAUGACGGUACCGUAAGAAUAAGCACCGGCUAACUACGUGCCAGCAGCCGCGGUAAUACGUAGGGUGCAAGCGUUAAUCGGAAUUACUGGGCGUAAAGCGUGCGCAGGCGGUUUUGUAAGACAGAGGUGAAAUCCCCGGACUCAACCUGGGGAUUGCCUUUGUGACUGCAAGGCUUGAGUGCGGCAGAGGGGGAUGGAAUUCCGCGUGUAGCAGUGAAAUGCGUAGAUAUGCGGAGGAACACCGAUGGCGAAGGCAAUCCACUGGGCCUGCACUGACGCUCAUGCACGAAAGCGUGGGGAGCAAACA
rnacentral:rRNA from 1 species